rfam:Picea glauca, whole genome shotgun sequence.
GGGUGUGAUCAUACCAGCGUUAAUGCAACAGAUCCCAUUAGAACUCUGAAGUUAAGCGCGGUUGAGCUAUAGUAGUAUUGGGAUGGGUGACCUCCCAGGAAGUCAUAGUGUUGCACCCU